rnacentral:rRNA from 1 species
AACGAACGCUGGCGGCAUGCCUAACACAUGCAAGUCGAACGAGACCUUCGGGUCUAGUGGCGCACGGGUGCGUAACGCGUGGGAACCUGCCCUUAGGUUCGGAAUAACUCCCCGAAAGGGGUGCUAAUACCGGAUAAUGUCUUCGGACCAAAGAUUUAUCGCCUUUGGAUGGGCCCGCGUUGGAUUAGCUAGUUGGUAGGGUAAAAGCCUACCAAGGCGACGAUCCAUAGCUGGUCUGAGAGGAUGAUCAGCCACACUGGGACUGAGACACGGCCCAGACUGGAACGGGACGCAGGGGAGGGGAAGGGGGGAGGAGGGGAGGAGGCAUGAUGUAGCAAAGCAGCGUGGGGGAGGAAGGCCUGCGGGUAGGGAAGCGAUUCCGCCUGGGACGAGGCGGGAGUGACGGGACUGGGUAAAGAAGCACCGGCUAACUACGUG